UGUUGGUGUGUGUCUGUGGUGUGUGUGUGUGUGUGUGUGUGUUGGUGUGUGUCUGUGUGUGUGUGUGUAGGGGUGGGAUCCCCAUUCCUCCCCACCAGGCAGGCCCUCCUGCUCUUGUGCCCAGAUGGUCUCCCCAUUCUGCACCUCUUCCAUCCCACCUUUCUAUUCAACAAACAGCUGGGGGUAAUACUGA